GUGGGAAGGCCCAGACAGCCAGGAUGUUGGCUUAGAAGCAGCCAUCAUUUAAAGAAAGCGUAAUAGCUCACUGGUCGAGUCGGCCUGCGCGGAAGAUGUAACGGGGCUAAACCAUGCACCGAAGCUGCGGCAGCGACGCUGAUGCGUUGUUGGGUAGGGGAGCGUUCUGUAAGCCUGUGAAGGUGUGCUGUGAGGCAUGCUGGAGGUAUCAGAAGUGCGAAUGCUGACAUAAGUAACGAUAAAGCGGGUGAAAAGCCCGCUCGCCGGAAGACCAAGGGUUCCUGUCCAACGUUAAUCGGGGCAGGGUGAGUCGACCCCUAAGGCGAGGCCGAAAGGCGUAGUCGAUGGGAAACAGGUUAAUAUUCCUGUACUUGGUGUUACUGCGAAGGGGGGACGGAGAAGGCUAUGUUGGCCGGGCGACGGUUGUCCCGGUUUAAGCGUGUAGGCUGGUUUUCCAGGCAAAUCCGGAAAACUAAGGCUGAGGCGUGAUGACGAGGCACUACGGUGCUGAAGCAACAAAUGCCCUGCUUCCAGGAAAAGCCUCUAAGCAUCAGGUAACAUCAAAUCGUACCCCAAACCGACACAGGUGGUCAGGUAGAGAAUACCAAGGCGCUUGAGAGAACUCGGGUGAAGGAACUAGGCAAAAUGGUGCCGUAACUUCGGGAGAAGGCACGCUGAUAUGUAGGUGAAGUCCCUCGCGGAUGGAGCUGAAAUCAGUCGAAGAUACCAGCUGGCUGCAACUGUUUAUUAAAAACACAGCACUGUGCAAACACGAAAGUGGACGUAUACGGUGUGACGCCUGCCCGGUGCCGGAAGGUUAAUUGAUGGGGUCAGCGCAAGCGAAGCUCUUGAUCGAAGCCCCGGUAAACGGCGGCCGUAACUAUAACGGUCCUAAGGUAGCGAAAUUCCUUGUCGGGUAAGUUCCGACCUGCACGAAUGGCGUAAUGAUGGCCAGGCUGUCUCCACCCGAGACUCAGUGAAAUUGAACUCGCUGUGAAGAUGCAGUGUACCCGCGGCAAGACGGAAAGACCCCGUGAACCUUUACUAUAGCUUGACACUGAACAUUGAGCCUUGAUGUGUAGGAUAGGUGGGAGGCUUUGAAGUGUGGACGCCAGUCUGCAUGGAGCCGACCUUGAAAUACCACCCUUUAAUGUUUGAUGUUCUAACGUUGACCCGUAAUCCGGGUUGCGGACAGUGUCUGGUGGGUAGUUUGACUGGGGCGGUCUCCUCCUAAAGAGUAACGGAGGAGCACGAAGGUUGGCUAAUCCUGGUCGGACAUCAGGAGGUUAGUGCAAUGGCAUAAGCCAGCUUGACUGCGAGCGUGACGGCGCGAGCAGGUGCGAAAGCAGGUCAUAGUGAUCCGGUGGUUCUGAAUGGAAGGGCCAUCGCUCAACGGAUAAAAGGUACUCCGGGGAUAACAGGCUGAUACCGCCCAAGAGUUCAUAUCGACGGCGGUGUUUGGCACCUCGAUGUCGGCUCAUCACAUCCUGGGGCUGAAGUAGGUCCCAAGGGUAUGGCUGUUCGCCAUUUAAAGUGGUACGCGAGCUGGGUUUAGAACGUCGUGAGACAGUUCGGUCCCUAUCUGCCGUGGGCGCUGGAGAACUGAGGGGGGCUGCUCCUAGUACGAGAGGACCGGAGUGGACGCAUCACUGGUGUUCGGGUUGUCAUGCCAAUGGCACUGCCCGGUAGCUAAAUGCGGAAGAGAUAAGUGCUGAAAGCAUCUAAGCACGAAACUUGCCCCGAGAUGAGUUCUCCCUGACUCCUUGAGAGUCCUGAAGGAACGUUGAAG
rnacentral:rRNA from 1 species